UAUGGUUUAUUUGAUUUAUAAAUGAAUUUAAGUUUUGAUAAGUUAUAUUUGUAUGAAGAAAGUAAUUUUUUCUUUAUUAGUUUGUUCGAAGAAGGAUUGGGCUUAAUUACAGAAAUGGAUGAAAAAUAUAGAAGAAGAAGAUUUGUUUAAUUGUACCUUUUGUAUCAGGGUGGGAGGAUAAAAGUUCAUUAUUAUGAAGCUUCCCGAAAGGAAAGGAUUUAUUUCUGUUUUAUUUUUUCAGUUGCAAUUGGAUUUUAAAAUCAGAAAUGGAAAUGAGAAGUUUUUCGUCUUUCGUAUAUCUGGUUUCUUUGUUAGUUGUUUUCAAACAAGGAUAAGAAGUGGAGGAUAAAUUUACUCUUAGACAAAUUCUUAGAGGGAUAAUCUUCUAGGGUGAAAAUGAUCUGUUUUGGAAUUAUCUUUGGUGGAAGUUGAUUUAAUAGGUCAAUGAAGAAAUUUUUUGAUUUAUUGGUGGAGGAAUUUAGAAUGACGAAGAAUUUUAAUAAAAUUAAGAUUUUGAGAUUAAUAUCUUUCAAUUAGUAGAAUAGUGGAAAAUUUCCUUUAGGAACUCGGCAAAAGAAUUGGAUCCUGCCUGUUUAAUAAAAACAUCUCCUCAAUUUGAUUAUUUGAGGUAUUGCCUGCUCAAUGCGAAAGUAAAUAGCCGCAGUAUUUUGACUGUGCAAAGGUAGCAUAAUAAAUUGGCCUUUAAUUGGGGUCUAGGAUGAAUGGCUUGACAAGGAUUUAACUGUCUUAGGGAGAAAUGUUUUGAAAUUUAAUUGUUUGUAAAAAUGCAGACAUGUGAGAGAGGGACGAGAAGACCCUAUAGAUCUUAAAAAAGUUUUUAAUUAAAUUUUGAUUGGAAAUUUUUUUUAUUUGGGGAAAAUCCUGAAAUGUAUUAAAACUUCGGUUAAUAAAAAAAUUUAAUAAUUAAUUUUUGAUCCAUUUGUAGAGUGAAAAAAUGAAAAAGUUACCUUAGGGAUAACAGGACAAUGAUUGUCUUAGAGGCCUUAUUUAAGACAACGUUUGUUACCUCGAUGUUGAAUUAAGUUAUCUAAUUAAAGGAGAAAUUUCUAUAGUUGGUCUGUUCGACCAUUAAAAACUUACAUGAUUUGAGUUUAGACCGACGUAAGUCAGGUCAGAUUCUAUCUUCUCUUUAGUUUAUUUCUUUUUGUACGAAAGGAUCAAAGAAAUUAUUAGUAGAAAAUAUUUUAUAAAGGUUGAAUUUUGGGUG
rnacentral:rRNA from 1 species